rnacentral:rRNA from 1 species
CCUACGGGAGGCAGCAGUGGGGAAUAUUGGACAAUGGGCGAAAGCCUGAUCCAGCCAUGCCGCGUGUGUGAAGAAGGCCUUCGGGUUGUAAAGCACUUUCAGUGGGGAAGAAAGCCUUGGGGCUAAUACCCUCGAGGAAGGACAUCACCCACAGAAGAAGCACCGGCUAACUCCGUGCCAGCAGCCGCGGUAAUACGGAGGGUGCGAGCGUUAAUCGGAAUUACUGGGCGUAAAGCGCGCGUAGGCGGUCUGAUAAGCCGGUUGUGAAAGCCCCGGGCUCAACCUGGGAACGGCAUCCGGAACUGUCAGGCUAGAGUGCAGGAGAGGAAGGUAGAAUUCCCGGUGUAGCGAUGAAAUGCGUAGAGAUCGGGAGGAAUACCAGUGGCGAAGGCGGCCUUCUGGACUGACACUGACGCUGAGGUGCGAAAGCGUGGGUAGCAAACAGGAUUUAGAUACCCCUGUAGUC